rnacentral:lncRNA from 1 species
UUUUUUUAUGCUUACUUUUGAUGUUCUAGCUAAUUUCAGACAUAGUUUAUUUCUUUUUUAAAAUUCAAAUGAAAAUUAUUCUUUAUAUAAAGAGAAUAAUGAUAUUAAACAUUGAUUAUAUAUGCAGCUGGUCAAUCAUGUUGUUCUCUUAUCUUAGACUGUCUGGAAAGAGGCGGAGCUUUGUCUAUAUUUAAUUACUACAUCACAGAUGUUGGUCAAAUCUGUGACGUCAAACUCCCGCCAAAUGCCAAGUUAGUGUUGGACAGUUCAAAUAUAAUGCAAAAUUUACAGUAUUAGAGCAUCAAAGACACAAAGUGUGUGGUUCUAUUGAUAUAGUAAUGGUAUCAGAACACUCCUGGGGUGUUUCCAGUGGAAUGUUUGUAUUUAUAUUGACUUAAUAGGGGUUCUAAAGGGGAAAUUCAGUUUUUAGGUCAUUUCUCAGAACAAUUUUUCAUGAAAAUUGUAAGGAAAAAAUUAAAAUAGAAACUUAAUGGGUAUCCCCUUUGGCUUGACAUUGAUAUAUAUGAUUAAAGGGUGUAUUUUCUACAAUACCGUGUCCCAGUUUUUGGAUAAUUUGUUUCUAAAUGAAUUUAUAGGUCUCCAAAGAUGAAAGGUGAAAUAAGGUUUGGCACCCAGCAGUUAAAUCAAUAUAUCUUCUUACUGGAGGCAUAUAUCAAAAAUCUAAGACACGGUUUUGGAGAUUGUAUAUGGUUGAUUAAAGGGAUGAAAACAAAUUUUCACUACCAUUUGACAUGAAUGUGCCAUUUUCAUCAAUGUUGGAAGACCACUUUUUUGGCAAUUAAUGAGCUAUAUUUUGAGAUUAAUC